AAGGUCUUAUCGGGCAAAGACAUUAGCUCAUUAUCCUGAUCAUGUCCCCUGGAAUCCAUUUGAUGAACAUGCAGUUUGCAUGUUCGUAUUAUAUUUGUGUCAUCUGCUCCAUCUCACUAAUGUUACUUAUAUGAACUGGAAUUCUCAGCAGAAGAUCGCAUGUUGAUGUUGUGGGGCGACAUUUACAAUUUUCUUUGCAAUCAUGUACAAACGUUACGGAAAAUUUUUUUGGAAAACCCAGAACUGGAAUAGUCUUACAUCCCGAUAACCACUUCAGAAACGCUGAUAUGGAUACGUCUCCUGUUAAAAACAUUUUAAACAUUUAAGACUGAAAAAUGAAUAAACAAACUAAUCAAGGUA